UACGUAGGGGGCGAGCGUUAUCCGGAUUUACUGGGUGUAAAGGGAGCGUAGACGGCAAUGCAAGUCUGAAGUGAAACCCCAAGGCUCAACCAUGGGCAUGCUUUGGAAACUGUGUAGCUAGAGUGCAGGAGAGGCAGGCGGAAUUCCUAGUGUAGCGGUGAAAUGCGUAGAUAUUAGGAGGAACACCAGUGGCGAAGGCGGCCUGCUGGACUGAAACUGACGUUGAGGCUCGAAGGCGUGGGGAGCAA
rnacentral:rRNA from 1 species